GGAAUAGUGGCUCAUGGGGGCAAACACUUUGCUAAAGUGUCGAGCUCAAGCUCAGCAGGUUCGAUUCCUGCCUAUUCCG
rnacentral:tRNA from 1 species